CAGCCGUAAACUAUGCUCGCUAGGUGUCAGGCAUGGCGCGACCGUGUCUGGUGCCGCAGGGAAGCCGUGAAGCGAGCCACCUGGGAAGUACGGCCGCAAGGCUGAAACUUAAAGGAAUUGGCGGGGGAGCACAACAACGGGUGGAGCCUGCGGUUUAAUUGGACUCAACGCCGGACAACUCACCGGGAACGACAGCUGAAUGAUAGUCGGGAUGAAGACUCUACUUGACUAGCUGAGAGGAGGUGCAUGGCGUGUGACUGU
rnacentral:rRNA from 1 species